UUUGUUAUGAAAGUGAAUAUUUAUUUUGAAUGAGAAAUUACAAUAAAUUACAAACUUUUAAAAGCUGAUAUAGACAUCACAAAAUCAAUAUAAACACAAUGUUUUUAAUAAUUAAUUGCCUGACACACACUACUCUAUUUUCUACAAUUUGCAUAACCUCUGAACACUUUUUCAUAUUGACAAUUUUGUAAUAUAUUAUCUCUAAAGAGGUAACAGAAACAUAAUUCAGCCUGAAACGUGGCUGAUGAAAUUUGCGUUAUAGUACUGAUAGUUUUUUUAAAAAACGUUCAGCUUCACAAGUUGUUAUUGGUAACAAGAUGCAGGAUGUUGGGAUGCAUAAAACAUGACUUCACACUCAGUUGUACUGCAUCCGUAACACUGCUACAGGUUUUGUGCCCUACAUACAUAGCACUUUUGAUAAAUUUCACACAAAUCCUAUCAAGAAAGAAAAAAUGAUCGUGCGUUGAUAAUUAGAUAUGGUGCAUUAUUGAGUAUAUUCUCACAAAACACAACUUUCUUUUUUUCUAGGUAUUAAUGAGAACUGAAUUCACCUCUUGAAAACGUACACAUGUGAGGGUUGGAGGACUUUUCUACAGCCCAUUUGGCUCCAGACAUUUCAAACAUUGUUUCUCCUUCAUUACCCACAUACUUCAAUGCCAGGUGCAGUAGGACAUGUUUAUAUGAUGAUACAGCUUUUGGCCCUGGACGUUUUCUCACGUGGUUUCAGGAAGUUGGCAUGGCAGGCAAUAGAAUUAUUCCUGGAAGCCAUUCCUACACCCGAACAGCUAGCAAUAAUUUAACUGUACAUGAAUGCUUGUGACCCAUAUAGAUCGCAAAAACUCAAACUAAAUGCAUUCCCAACUCAUUUUUCCUUGGUUGCAGCAUCAAAAUGCCUGUGGCCACUCCAAUAACAGCCUUCCCCCCGCACCCCCAAAAAGAGGAGAAGAGUGACAGAAAGUUGAAGUGAAAAGAGGCAACAGUUUUAACCAAUUGCAGUCAAAACAUCUUACUUUGGAAAUUUUAUGAAAAUAGAUAAAUUUGAAUUACAUUACGGGAAUCUCUCCCAUAGCCUUGGGAGGAGCUCAUCUGUGCAAGUGAGGGGCUUUGAAGCUGAAGCUUUACUAAUUUCAUGGUAAACCCAUAUUUACACACUGGACACGUCAGCACAGUUUGGAAGUCUUGGGUCUGCCCCUAUAUCCAUGCUCAUGGUCAUAAGCCCGAGUCAGGACCUCAGCAUCUUAGUUCUGCAAUUGCUCUCAUACUCUUUUCUGUCUCCAACUUCAGCCUCUCCCUUUUCCUAAUCUUCCACGUUAGCCUCAUCUUUUUCCAUCUCGUUUUCACACUUCCCACAUCAGAACCUUAAACUGAUUGCCAAUUGCCUCACUGAAAGGUGAAAACUCUUGAUUCUCUAAAGAGCAAGUUUCCUUAAAGUUAGAAGAACUGGUGUUUAGGUUAACCACUGAUCGAUCGGUUGAUGGUGGAGGUGGGUGAUGAGAGCUACUUCCUCCUGUAGCCAAGUAUGUGCCUGUAUGUUAUGUCAGUUGUGACAGCUGCAUUCACAUCCACUCUGUCAUUCAACCCUCACAACAUUCCUUUAAGGUCAUAAAGUUAUCAACAUUUUAAAAAAUGAGGCAAUAAACUCAGAGUUGAAGUAACCCAAGAACCCACAGUUGGUAAGCGGUGGAGGAUUCUAUUGCACUGAUACUGACUUCCAGUUGCUUAGUUAACUCGUGUGCUGAGAGAAGGAAAAUACAGCUGGAUGGUGCACCCAAGUUCUAAUCUUAUGGCUUAGAUUGGGUGUCACUUCAAUGUCUAUGCAGCUCUCUUCAGUCACUAUUAUCAGGUAUACGAAUCCUCCCUCUGGGUCCAAAGCACAUCUAUCUGGCUCUUAAAGACAGAAAGUUAUACGUAGCAGACUUUGUUCUAGACCCCCAUUUGAUUUUGAGCUUCUUUAUCAUCUUGAUCACAUACUACCCAAAGCACAGAAGGAGUUCAGACAUUAGAGGGAUGACAUGGACAUUUAUAAUUUCUCUUCAGAUGCUAACAGCCCCCAGAGAUUCAUAAAUAAAGCUUAUUUUGGUUAUUCAGAGAUCAGAAAAAGAACACAUCUUCCAAGGACUACAACUGUCUUUUCAGGGGAAUAAACCUGAGACUAAGUGGAAGAAAUAGAGAAAUUAUGAAAGGAAAUACAUACAAAAUAAACUAAGAAGUAAAGUAUCCAGCUAUAAGGAUGAACAUGACAAUAAAAAUAACCAAAAGAAUAUUAACAGAUAUUUUUUAAAUGAUAAAAAAUCCUCUCAUCUUCAUCACUGCUAGGUCUUGGGGAAAAGCAGUUGACACUUGGUACCUUCAUUUUACUCUCAUGCUGACGUCUUCGUAGAGAAAACAGAACCAGAACACCCUUCAGUCUCCUAUCACCAAACAUCAACCCACCAUCAUCUGCUCUGCUCCUAUUAUCCUUCCCUCGUUAAACAGACCCGAGCAACUUUCUUCUAUUUAAGGCCGCUUACUUUUGAACUGAAUAUCAUCCCAAUGUGUGUAUUCAGAAAUCUUACACGAUCCCUUAGCCUGGUUCUUAUAUACUUAUGUUUUCUCUCUCACUGGGGUAUUCUUAUUAGCUUAACAAUUGUUUUUGUUAUCUGAGUGGUACAUGUAUAUAAUAUAAAAAGUCAAACAUCUCUAUAGAGAAAACUUCUGGUCUAGAUGACUUCACUGAUGAGCUCUUUCAAACAUUUAGGAAGGCAAUAAUGCCACAUUACACACACUCUUUCAGAAAACAGAGGACAAGGGAACAUUACCCAACCCAUUUUAGAAUAAUUUAGCUAGAAAAAUUGUAAUACCAAAACCUAAUAAAGCUAUUGCAAGAAAAAAAACACACACACAUACACAUAGACCAAUAUCCUUCAUGAACAUACAAAAUUUCUUAAACAUAUAUAUUAAAUCAAAAACCUAAGUAAAGAAAACUCCAGAAAGUGACUAACUCUUGAUACGGGAGAAGAAACUCAUGGCUGUUCUCACGUGUGGCAAAACAGCAGAGUAAAGAAGAAUCUACCACAGAGACAAGGUAAAACUAGCCAAAAAUUCUUUCUAAAAUCACUUAAUGGCUGUAUGUGAGCUAGCAUGACAAAUGAGAAUUCUUAAAGGCCACAGUCACAGAGCAAGUCAGGCACCAACCUACCAAAUCUUUCCUAUGGGAAUUUACAGAGUACUAGGGACAGUACACCAAAUCUGAGGGGAGAACAGGACAGGAAAGACCCCUCCACACAUGCAGAGCCUCUCCCAAAUGUAAGGCAGCCCCCCACUGAACUGAAUGGGCAGAGCAAAGGGAAGGAGAGAAAUCAACUCAAGGUACUUAGGACUUUCACCUACAAAGUUUGGGGUCAGAGCUGAAGAACUGAGAGAGCAGUUCUCUUCUCUCGCCAUGCCAGGUACUCUAUGCUCUCAGCUUCCAAGGUGUGGUUAGAAGUAACAGAUACCUCUCCAAGGCAUUCUAGGCAGAACGAGAUCUCUGGAACAAGACUGAAGAGUAAAUGAAACUUCUCAGUUGGAAGCUUAUCUAUAAAACACAAGAUAUAUCUGGAAUAUUGCCAGUGCUCAGAAGGGAAAAUCUUGAUUUUGUUUCAAAUUAUUUGAAGCCAGUGUUUGAAAUCACUAAAGAUGAUACUGACUCAACCUCACUUUAGUGGCAUGACACAAGACAGAGGAUACACUUUUUGGGAAGUAAAUAUUAUUCACUUUAACUUUUUUUUUGUUUUUUGUUCACAUGUGGCAUUAAAUCAAACAUUAAAAGAAGAAUUAAAAAGAAAGAAAAUACAACUCAUGAUCAAGAAAAGAAACAGUCAAUAAAAACAGACCCAGCUAUAGCCCAGAAAUUGGAAUUAACAGACAGCGACUUGAAACUAUAAUAAAAAUGCUGAAGGAAAUGGAAAGCUGAACAAUAUAUAUAGAAUCUUCAGAAGAGACAUUGAAACAUUGAAAGAAUCAAAUGGAAAUUCUCUAAGUGAAAAUUCCAUGGUUAUGUGAGAUUACUAGCAGACUGGAUUCCAUUUAGGAAAGAAGAUAAUAUGCAAACUAAAAACCAAACAGGAUAAAUAAUGGAAAAAGAAAACCAAAACGGAGUACCUGAGAUAUGUGAAGCAAUAUUAAAUGAUCUAACAUACACAACUGGAGUUACAGGAAGAGUAGAGAGACAAUGGCAAAGAAGAAAUAUUUAAAGAAAUAAUAACUGAAAACCUUUCAAAAUUGAUGAAAGACAUCAACCUGUGCAUCAGAAAGCUCAAGAAAUUCCAAAGAAGAUCAAUUCAGAGAAAAACAUACCUAGAUAUUUUAUAGUCAAAUUGCUAAAAACCAAAGAUAAAGAAAAAAUUUUAAAAGCAACCAGAGAAAAGAAAAAAAGACAUAUCACAGAUAGGGGGACAACAUUACAAAUCAUGAAAAACAACAGGGGCCAGAACACAA
rnacentral:lncRNA from 1 species